AUGCUUUCUCCCGUUUCCCUUCUCUGCUUUUUGCUUUCUGUUGGGUAAACUCAGGGGUGGAAGUAGGAGAAUUCAGAGCUAGCAU
ensembl:miRNA gga-mir-1577 gga-mir-1577